AAACAAACUCAUCUACAUCUUGGAUGGCCUGAAGUGACAGAAAUAACAGAGGAAUCACCCUAGAGACCACCCGCUGGUUCUGUUUUCUUAUCUCUUUUUUGUUCUUUUUCUCUCAAAGCGUCACAUCCUGUCUUUCUACUUCUGGAUUAGGAGAUAAGCGCAGGCAAAAGAUCCACUUUGAGCGGCAAAUGCAAUCAGGAUUAUGAUUGUGUUGUAUGGUCCUGAAUACAAAUAGAGUGUCAUACUUAUAAUUCAGGUCUCAUUCAUGCAUUUGCAUGCUAAACCUCUUUUACAGUUAAAAACGGUAAAACCUUGAUUUGGGAUAUCACUUAUUAACUUUUUUUAUAUAUAUCACAAGGCAUUAGCUGUAGUUUACAGGGUUAUUGUGAAAACCCAGGCUUGUAUGGGAUUAUGCAUUUACUUUUACAGGGCUUCAGUGGCAGGUUAUGGAUUGGAUUAUGAUUUGACAGAGAGACAGAGGUACAAAUUAGUUUGACCUCAAUUUUCACUCACACAUGCACUCAAUAUGGGAUAGAAUUUCAGAUCAGUCAUUUUUACAGGGAGCUUUUUAUUAUUAUUAUUAUUUUUUAAAUCUGGGCCAGGGAGUGUCUAACAGUAUGAAGGCACUGGUGUCCGCAGCAUUACUGACCAUGUCCAUGAUCCCUCAGGUUCUGUAGGACAACCUUUUUUUUUCUGCUGUUGGUACUUAAUAUUUUCAAGACAAUUUUGUUGUACCACAACCGUAUGAGAUGUGUUCCCUCGAGAAAAAGACAAUUGGUUUCCCAUCAGCUCUCAA